rnacentral:antisense_RNA from 1 species
GACCGACAUCAGGGAUUCGUUCUGGGAACCGUUACCGACCGCCAGAUAAGAGUGCAUCCCCCAGCUCUUUUCAUCUGCCUGUUCGCCGAUAACGCGGGUGAUGACGUUCUUGCUGUACGCGUCAGCCAGCUGGCGCGCCUGAGACGCCAGGUACGCG